rnacentral:rRNA from 1 species
UACGUAGGGGGCGAGCGUUGUCCGGAUUCAUUGGGCGUAAAGAGCUCGUAGGCGGCUUGGCAAGUCGGGUGUGAAAUCUCUGGGCUUAACUCAGAGAGGCCACUCGAUACUGCUAUGGCUAGAGUCCGGUAGGGGACCAUGGAAUUCCUGGUGUAGCGGUGAAAUGCGCAGAUAUCAGGAGGAACACCGGUGGCGAAGGCGGGUCUCUGGGCCGUAACUGACGCUGAGGAGCGAAAGCGUGGGGAGCGAACAGG